AUUGAACGCUGGCGGCAUGCUUUACACAUGCAAGUCGAACGGCAGCGCGGGCUUCGGCCUGGCGGCGAGUGGCGAACGGGUGAGUAAUGCAUCGGAACGUGCCCAGUAGUGGGGGAUAGCCCGGCGAAAGCCGGAUUAAUACCGCAUACGACCUGAGGGUGAAAGCGGGGGACCGAAAGGCCUCGCGCUAUUGGAGCGGCCGAUGUCGGAUUAGCUAGUUGGUGGGGUAAAGGCUUACCAAGGCGACGAUCCGUAGCUGGUCUGAGAGGACGACCAGCCACACUGGGACUGAGACACGGCCCAGACUCCUACGGGAGGCAGCAGUGGGGAAUUUUGGACAAUGGGGGCAACCCUGAUCCAGCCAGGCCGCGUGCGGGAAGAAGGCCUUCGGGUUGUAAACCGCUUUUGUUCGGGAAGAAAUCCUCUGGGCUAAUACCCCGGGGGGAUGACGGUACCGGAAGAAUAAGCACCGGCUAACUACGUG
rnacentral:rRNA from 1 species